GACGAACGCUGGCGGCGUGCUUAACACAUGCAAGUCGAACGAUGAAGCCUUUCGGGGUGGAUUAGUGGCGAACGGGUGAGUAACACGUGGGCAAUCUGCCCUGUACUUUGGGAUAAGCCUUGGAAACGAGGUCUAAUACCGGAUAUGACUGGCCUUCGCAUGGGGUUGGUUGAAAGUUCUGGCGGUACAGGAUGAGCCCGCGGCCUAUCAGCUUGUUGGUGGGGUAAUGGCCUACCAAGGCGACGACGGGUAGCCGGCCUGAGAGGGCGACCGGCCACACUGGGACUGAGACACGGCCCCAGACUCCUACGGGAGGCAGCAGUGGGGG
rnacentral:rRNA from 1 species